rnacentral:rRNA from 1 species
GAUGAACGCUGGCGGCGUGCCUAAUACAUGCAAGUCGAGCGAACAGACGAGGAGAUCUUUCUUCUGCCGGUAGCGACGGACGGACGAGUAACAAGUGGAUAACCUACCUAUAAUACGGGGAUGACAACGGGAAGACAGAGAUACUAACGGCUAAUAUGUCGAACGGCUUGGUUCAAUAGUGAAAGACGGUUUGGCCGUCUCUAAUAGCUGAAUCCGGGCCGCAUUAGCUAGUUGGUAAGGUAACGGCUAACCAAGGCAACGAUGCGUAGCCGACCUGAGAGGAUGAUCAGCCACACUGGAACUGAGACACGGUCCAGACUCCUACGGGAGGCAGCAGUGGGGAAUCUUCGACAAUGGGCGAAAGCCUGACCGAGCCAUGCCGCGUGGGUGAAGAAGGCCUUCGGAUCGUAAAGCUCUUUUGUUGGGAAAGAACAAAUGUGUAAGUAACUAUGCACGUCUUGACGGUACCUAAUCAAUAAGCCACGGCUAACUACGUG